GGUUCAUUCAAAUUUCUGCCCUAUCAACUUUCGAUGGUAAGGUAUUGGCUUACCAUGGUUUCAACGGGUAACGGGGAAUUAGGGUUCGACUCCGGAGAGGGAGCCUGAGAAACGGCUACCACAUCCAAGGAAGGCAGCAGGCGCGCAAAUUACCCAAUCCCGACCGGGGAGGUAGUGACAAUAAAUACUAAUACAGGGCUCUUUUGGGUCUUGUAGUUGGAAUGAGUACAAUUUAAACCCCUUAACGAGGAACAAUUGGAGGGCAAGUCUGGUGCCAGCAGCCGCGGUAAUUCCAGCUCCAAUAGCGUAUAUUAAAGUUGUUGCAGUUAAAAAGCUCGUAGUUG
rnacentral:rRNA from 1 species